CAUAUUCUCCAAUUGGCUAAUGGUGUGCCGUUUGGAGCAAGGGCAGUGUGUAGCGCAGCAUGCUGCGCACUUCAGUUGAGGUUGGGAAUCCGGGCGGAGACCUGCUCUUGGCUCCCAGGGCAUGGAUCGCGUGUGGCGUGCGUGGGACGGGCAGUCCUUCAAAGAGAACCAGCCUGAGUCGCCGAGUGCCAGGGGUAUCGUCGUCUCUUGGCUCAGCAGGGCUGAGUGGGAGCAAGUGACGGUUUAUCUGUUCUGCGAUGAUCACAAGUUGCAGCAGUAUGCGCUGAACCGAAUUACAGUAUGGAGGAGCAGGUUAGGCAACGAACUGCCCCUGGCAGUGGCUUCUACUGCUGACCUGGUAAGAUGCAAGCUCAUCGAUGCAGCCGGUACCUUGGGCACUGAUGAACUUAGACUGCUCUAUGGCAUGGCAUUGGUCAGGUUUGUGAAUCUUAUCUCAGAGAGGAAGACAAAAUGUUCUAACCUUCCCCUCAAAUACCUGGCUCAGGAGGUGAACAUUCCAGACUGGAUUGUUGAACUUCGCCACAACUUGACCCACAAGAAAAUGCCCCAUAUAAAUGAGUGCCGCAGAGGUUGCUACUUUGUCCUCAACUGGCUCCAGAAGACAUACUGGAGCCGUCAACUGGAAGGCAGCCUGAAAGAAACCUGGGAGUUGGAUGAGGACCAGCUAGAUGCAGAAGAUCCUGAAGAAGAGGAACGUGAAAUUAUUGCCGAUGAUGUACUUGAAGAGAUACCAGAGCCUCAGGAUGAUGACAAAGAUGAAGAGUUGGCUGUCGAGGAUGAUGCAAAUACUAAAGGCAAUGAGGAGGUGGCUUCUCAUCCAGAACCAUCUUCAAGACACAAGGAGUUGUAUGAGAAAGCGCGAGAAUUGCUGGUAUCCUAUGAAGAGGAACAGUUUAAGGUGCUGGAGAAACACAGGCAUUUGCUUCAGGCUAUUAAAGUGUGGAAUAAUCUUUCCCCACGUGUACAAUGUAUCCUAGAAGAACUCAAGAGCAUUUCAUGGGAGAACAGGGAUGCUGUGCUGGAUGCUUUUCUAGAUGAUGGUUUCCUCAUUCCUACGUUUGAGCAGUUGGCAGCUUUGCAGAUAGAGUAUGAAGAUGGUCAAACUGAGGUCCAGAAAGGGGAAGUUACUGAACCAAAUUCACACAAAAACAUCGACUUGAAUGAAGUGUUGGUGCCAAAGCCCUUCUCUCAGUUCUGGCAGCCCCUGCUCAGGGGCCUGCACUCCCAGACCUUCACGCAGGCCCUGCUAGAGAGGAUGUUCUCCGAGUUGUCUACCGUGGGGAGCACUGGGAUCCGGCCUACCUACAUCCUUAGAUGGACCGUUGAACUGAUCGUGGCCAACACCAAGACUGGACGGAAUGCUCGGCGGUUUUCUGCAAGCCAGUGGGAAGCAAGAAAGAGCUGGAGGCUGUUCAAUUGCUCUGCCACCCUUGACUGGCCGCAGGUGAUCGAGUCCUGCUUGGGCUCACCAUGCUGGGCCAGCCCUCAACUCCUUCAGGUAGUCUUCAAAGCCAUGGGACAGGUCUUGCCAGAUGAAGAGCAGGAGAAGCUGCUGCGAGUCUGUUCCAUUUAUACUCAGAAUGGAGAGAAUGGCUUGGCAAAGGCGAUUGAAGGUUCCUCCUCCUCCUCCACUGGCAAAGCUCCGUACACACUGGAUACCUUACAUGAGGACCUACAACCACCUGGUACCAACUGUGAGUCCGAAGAAAGUAUUCAACAGAAGGAGCAAGGCAACCUUAAGGAUGUCAAGCAAGAGGAGAAAAAGGAGAAUGAGGAAGAGGAGAAGGAGGAGGAGGAGAUGGAGGAGGAGGAAGAAGAGGAGGAGGAAGAAAAGGAGGAGGAAGAGGAAGAGCAGGAGCAGGAAGAACACCAGGAGGAAGAACAGGAGGAGGAGGAGGAGGAAGAGAACCAAAAGGUCUUUCAAGAUCAGAUGGAGGCAGAUGUUGAGGAAAGUGAUGAUGUAGAAGAAGAGGAAGAAGUAGAUGAUGAAGAAGAAGAUGAAGAUGAUGACUAUGAUGAUGAUGAAGAAGAAGACAGGAUGGAAGUGGGGGCCUUCUCUCUUGCACAGGGAUCCAGUGUUUUUGAGAAUACUAGGACCACGUCUCGGAAGAGAGAAGCACUGCAGGGUUCAGCAUGGCAAGUAAGCUCUGAAGAUGUGCGAUGGGGUACAUUCCCUCUAGGCCGGCUACCAGGCCAGACUGAGGACCCAGCAGAGCUUAUGCUGGAUAAUUAUGACACCAUGUAUCUUUUGGACCAACCUGUAAUAGAGCACCGGCUAGAACCCCAGAAGUCCAAAAGUAGAAUCCGCUGCUUCUUGAAGACCACACAGAACGCUGUGCCUUAACCCCUGCUGUGUACUUGGAGGUGAUGGAGGGUAGAAGCCAGCCAGGCCCCCUGCCCUUCCUCAUGAGCAGGAUUCCCUGAGCUGUGCCUAAUGUUUGGCUGUGAACCUCUACAUCUAUUUCCAUCACUUGCUGGAUGAAGCCUCUCUGAUGACUACUGGGCUAGGCACAAAUCUAUGAGUAUCAUCAGGAAUCAGUUCAUUGACUGUUUUAUGUUUUGUUUUGAUUUUGCCAUUCCUUUUGGUACAGAAAUUCUACAGAACCUUUUCAGUUUCAUGUGGUUUUGUGGGUGUUAUUUGUUCUUGAUUUUACAGGGCCUUCAGAUGCAUCAUACAUCAAUUUGCAGUCUCUCAAUUUUUUUUUCAUGGUGGCACUCAUGGAUAUAAACUUUCCUCUGAGAACUCCCUUCGUUAGGUUACAUAUAUUUUGUUGUACUUGACUUUUAAACUUUCUGUACUUAUUUCAUCCUUGAUUCUAUUUUCAUUUAGUAUUGUGAUGUUUAGUUUCUGUGAAUUCAUGUACUUUCUACUGCAGCUUCUAAUUAGCUUUACUCAGGUUAUAAUCAGAUAACCACGCUGGAUGUAAUUUUACAUUCUCCAUAUUUGUAGAUUUUGUCUUGUGUUGGAGGAAGUUUCAUGGGAUUGCUGUGAUGCAUAUGGAUUCUUUGGUACUUGAACAGAAUAUUCUAUAAAUACAUUAGUUCUGUUUGAUUUAUGAUGUCAUUUAAUUCACAGAUUUUUCUCUUUAGCUUAUUUCCAGAUGACAAUGUAAUAGUAGAAUUCCUAUUACUGAAAUAAACCACUAUUAUUCAAAGCAA